rnacentral:sRNA from 1 species
UCAAGAUCCUUAUUAAUUAGGUUAGUUAGGGUUUCUUCAAAACUUUCGCGAUGAGGCGCCUCCUGAUGGUCUACCUCGACGAAAAAACAAGGUAAUUGAUUUGGAAACUGCAAAUAUUUCAUUCGUGAUGAGAAAUACGUGACAAGAUUAUAAUUGUAGAUUUGGUCGAAGGCAUAAUCUUUUACACUCUGUUUUUUGGAUCGUUGGCACUUAUUCGUGCAUAUCCUGAAAGAAUGCUUCCACCUAUGUUAACAUACUACCGCCUAUCAAGAAUGUUUGUGUUGCUGAUUCUCGAUUUCAUUGGCCGGAAGUUCAGAAUGAUCAUCUUCAUAAUAUGUAGAAGAAGAAGAAUGAUCAUCUCGAAAGUAGAGGACAGCAGCCCCUGGUCCAAUAAACUCGCGGGAGAUGUUAUGCAACUGAUUCUACGACGACUGGGCUUAUUAGACUACGUUCGAUGUGCUGC